GGACAGAAAGACCCUAUGAAGCUUCACUGCAGGCUGGCAUUGGGUUCGGGCUUUUCUUGCGCAGUCUAGGUGGGAGGCUUUGAAGGUUUCCUUCCGGGGAAGCUGGAGCCAUCAGUGAGAGACCACUCUGGAAAGGCUAGAAUCCUAAUGGUGAUCCUUGAAUCAGGACACUUGACAUUGUCAGCUAGACAGUUUUUCUGGGGCGGAAGGCUCCUAAAAGGUAACGGAGCUGUGCAAAGGUUCCCUCAGUCUGGACGGAAAUCAGACGUGGAGUGUAAAGGCAAAAGGGAGCUUGACUGCAAGACCUACAAGUCGAGCAGGGGCGAAAGCCGGCCUUAGUGAUCCGACGGUACCGAGUGGAAGGGCCGUCGCUCAACGGAUAAAAGUUACUCUAGGGAUAACAGGCUGA
rnacentral:rRNA from 1 species